rnacentral:lncRNA from 1 species
ACCACCUCCCGGACAGACCAGAACCACCUGCCAGACACGUGGUAACCACCUGUUGGACUUGCCAGAACCACCUGGCGGAAACGCCAAAAUCACCUGCCGGCCAUGCCAGAACCACUUGGAGGACUCUCUGGGAUCACCAUCCUGGCAUGCCGGAACCACCUCUGAGACGUAGCAGAACCACAUGCCAGACAUGCCAGAACCACAUCCUGGACAGACUGGAACCACCUGCCGGACACACCUGAACCACCUGUCGGGCACGCCGGAACCACCUGCUCGACUCGCAGGACCCACCUACCAGACAUGCCAAAAUCACAUGCCGGCUGUGCCAGAACCACUUGUCGCACACUCCGGAAUCACCUGCCGGGCAUGCUGAAACCAACUCUCAGAUGUGCUAGAAACACGUGCUGGAGUCGCUGGAAGCACCUGCCGAGCACGCCGGAACCAACUUCUUCACUCCCAGGACCCACCUGCUCAGAACCACUUGGCGGACACUCCGGAAUCAAUUUCCGGGAAUGCCAAUACCACCUCUCAGACGUGCCAGAACCACAUGCUGGAAACGCUGGAACCACCACCCGGACAGACCACAACCACCUGCCGGACAUGCCUGAACAACCUGCGGAGCACUGCGGAACCUCCUGCUCAACUCAACGGAACGACCUUCCAGACAUGCCAAAAUCACCUGGCGGCUAUGCCAGAACCACUUGGCGGACACUCUGGAAUUCCCUGCAGGACAUUCCAGGACCCCCUUCACAUGUCCCAGAACCACGUGAGGGACACGCCAGAACCACCUCCUGUACAGUCUGGAACCACCUGCCGAACACGCCAAAAUCAACUGCCGGCUACGCCAGAACCACUUGGCAGACAUUCUGGAAUCACCUGCCGGGCAUGCCGGAACCAGCUCUCAGAUGUGCCAGAAUCACGUGCCAGACCCACCGGAACCACCUCCAGGACAGACUGAAACCACAUGCCGGACACGCCAGAACCACCUGCUCGGCUCCCAGGACCCACCUGCCAGAAACGCCAAAAUCACCUGCCGGCUAUGCCAGAACCACUUGCUGGACAUUCCGGAAUCACCUGGUGGGCAUGCCUGAACCACCUCUAGGGCGUGCCAGAACCACGUGCCUGACACGCCGGAAGCACCUGUUGAGCUAGCUGAAACCACCUGCUCGACUUGCCGGAACCAGCUGCCGGACAUGCCAAAAUCACCCGCC